GGGUAAGUGCUGAGAACUCACUAUGACAUGAAGAGAGGUAAUUACUUAAAAUCUUGCUCAGUAGGAAUACACUGAGGGCC
ensembl:snoRNA SNORD115 Small nucleolar RNA SNORD115